CGACCGGCGCACGGGUGCGUAACGCGUAUGCAACCUACCUGUAACAGGGGGAUAACACUGAGAAAUCGGUACUAAUACCGCAUAACACUAUGAGAGGCAUCUCUUGUGGUUGAAAGUUUCGGCGGUUACAGAUGGGCAUGCGUUGUAUUAGCUAGUUGGUGAGGUAACGGCUCACCAAGGCGACGAUACAUAGGGGGACUGAGAGGUCAACCCCCCACAUUGGUACUGAGACACGGACCAAACUCCUACGGGAGGCAGCAG
rnacentral:rRNA from 1 species